CCCUUAGAUGUUCGGAGCUGCACGCGCGCUACACUGAAGGAAGCAGCGUGUUAGAGUACCUGGCUUGGAAGAGCUGGGUAAUCCGGUGAAUGUCCUUCGUGAUUGGGAUAGGCACUUGUAAUUAUUUGCCUUGAACGAGGAAUACCUAGUAAGUGCGAGUCAUCAGCUUGCGCUGACUACGUCCCUGCCCUUUGCACACACCGCCCGUCGCUCCUACCGAUUGAAUGCUCAGGUGAGCCAUUCGGACUUUCAUCAUGCUGGUUUCCAGUUUUGAUGAAGGAAAGUCUUGCGAACCUUAUCAUUUAGAGGAAGGAGAGGUCGUAACA
rnacentral:rRNA from 1 species